AUGACUAAAUAUUUAGUAGUGACUCGUGAGUGGUCGUCGUUGACGAAAUUACUGAAAUAAUUAAUAAUUGUGUAGGUACCUACUACUCCGUAGACCGUCCGUACUAUGUAGUUGUGUCAGUUUCAAUUAUAGACAAAAAAGUAAUGGUUUCAAUCGUAUUUUACUCAUUUACUUUACAGUUUAUUGUAUGAUAAUGUAUGGUGCAUUUAACUUCUGAUUUUCAAUAAUAAGUGUAAUAUAAUACCUAUAGUGCCUAUUGCCUAAUCUGUAUCAAGAAUCGACAUUGCCGGUUAUCAACAUUUUCAUUUGUUCAUCGUACAUUAAUUGUCUACUUGUCUACUUGUCGGUUUGUUAAUACCUAAUUACCUACUUUCUGUUUCUUUAUUAUAAAUUACGAUGACAAAAUGGUUCCAUCAAAAGGAAAAUCUCAAGGAAAUAAAACUGAAGAAAGAGGAAGAAAUAAAAAAUGUAUAGGAUUUUUAAAUAGGUUAGGUUAACCUAUGUUUAUUGUCAAGAACUUCCUACAAUAGAAAAUAAUGUCGUACCAGAAUUGCUUGGUCAACUAAAAUUGUAUUUUUUUUGUUUGGGAGCAUUGUCUGUCGAAUCCAUUGAAGGAUGGUAUGAGCCGCUACACGUGUCAAAAUAAUUUGUCAUUUACAUAGCCAAAAAUCUAUUUUGAUAUUAACGGGCGUAUUGACUCCUUGGUGCGAUAUGAAGCGUGACAUAAGCACAAAGAAUAAUCAGCGUAUAUAUACACAUUACCAAAAUACCUUAUCCGUUAUCGUCUGCUUUUGAGCUUAUAGUAAGUACCUGUAAGUUUAUAAAGAUAGUAGAUAGAUCAAUAAAGAACAAUAAUAAUGUUAUCAUUUUUUUUUUAUUUUUAUUUAUUAACCCGUGGCAAUUUAGGCCAUUCGGUGGAAUUUAACUGUGGAGGAGGGUACUGUAGAGUGUAGGUUUAAACACGUGUGUUUGUUAGUUUGGCAGAUUUUUUAGUGGGCACCCGUAGGUAUCUGCCAUUCUGCCAUGCCCGGGUGGGGGAUGGCGGCACAUCUCUCCGGACACCGGACACUUACCCGGAGAAAAAUGCCGCCAGCAGCCAAGGUUUUGAACCGGCGUCGGUGCUCGGCCACUCCAUCCCCCUAAUUUUAUUAUUAUUAUACGGAUAAUAGAACUCUGAUACCGUUAAUUAUAUAUGAUAUUCGACAAAUGUUUAUAAGGCAUGAACAAUUUUCUUAACGUUAGAAAAUAUUAUAUCUUCUAUAAUAUAAAAGUAUUAAACAUAAUAUUAAACUUCGUCUAUAUUUAUACGUCCUAUAAACUAAUAUCCGAGACACUAAUUUUAUCUAACAACAAAGAUUGAAGAUAAUGGUUCGGAUAGAACUAUAUGCCUAUAAUUUGUGAAAAAAAAUUCUUUAAAAUGAUGUCAAUAACCUUAGAUAUGGUCCACUAAUAAUUUCCUAAAGCUAAAUAUCAAUAGAAAAUAAGUCAUAAGCGUACAUUUGUGAGCUAAGCCUGAAUAAAAAAGGUAGGAUAAAAUAGAUAGGAUAGAUAAUAUGAUAGGAUAAAAAUAUAAACACAAUAUUAUGUAUACGUCAUAUAUUAUAUUAUAAGUUAUAAGUCAAAAAACAUAAGUCUUAGGUUUAUAUACAUACUAAAAUAUUGUCUGUUAUUUAAAUAUAUUAUGUCUACGACCUGUUUUGUAUUAACUUAUUAUAUCAUUAUUUAUAUAGUUGUGUAAUUUUUGUACACAUUUUUGUAUGUAUAUACCUAAGACUUAUGUGUUUUGACUUAUAACUUAUAGUAGUAUCUAUAUACCUACCUAAGACUGAUAUUUUUUGACAUAUAACUUAUAAUUUUAAAAAUUAUAACACAAUAUAUCAUGACGUAUACAUUAUAAUAUAAGAAUCCCCGAACAAAAGUUGAAAAGUCCGGUGAAAUAAAGUCCGAUAAAAAAAGUCGAAUGGAAUAAAAUCCCGAGAAUAAAAGUCCCAAAUUUAAUAAUUAUUAAGUUAAGUCACUUAAUAUUUGAUUAGGUCUAAGGAUUAAGGUCUAACCAUAUUAUAUUAUAUGUUACAGAUUAUCACUUUAUUUGGAAAGUAGUAAAUUACAAUCUAAUCUUUACUUAGCUCUAAGGUCUAACCAUAUUAUAUAUUAUAUGUUAUAGAUUAUCACACCGUAUUCGACUAAACGAAGCUUAUCGAUAUCAACAAUUAUGGAUAAGAUAUUUUAGUGUGUGUACAUUUUAUGUAUACCUGAAUAAUUCUGUGUAUUACUUUUGGUACAUUAUUAUUUUUGAUUAUACGCAGUUCCCUAUACAUUUUAUUGCAACAAGUUAUGAACAAUAAAAAAAGGUGGGUAAGUGGAUGUCGCUCUGCUGUACAGUAGGUUACAAGUGGGUCACUGUAAUGGAUGGUGUUAAAUUUGAAUUCAAUGAUAUAAUAUGAUUGUAUAAGAAAAACGAUUCUGAGCGAAAACGGUUAAAUUUUAUUGAUAUUUACAGAAAAAGAAACUAAAAAAAUUGAAAACUGACAAUGACCGUAAACAGCCCAAAAAGAGUCAAAUUAUUUUCAAAAUUUUAUCAUGUAUAGAAAAUGCUAAUAUAAACAUUCAAUGAAAUUUUCAAGUAUUUACAGUCAUACGUUUUUUAAUUACAACAAAAUAAGAAAAUCGUUACAUGAGAAAUCGAGUGAAUAUCAAAUGUUGUAAAAAUAUGAAUUUCAAACGCUCAUAAAAAUUUAAUUUGACUUUCUUGUAGACAUUUUUUUUUGAUAAAGGUAGACAAACUUAUGGAAAAUCUUGUAUUACAUUUUAAAAUCUUAGAUUUAAAAAAAAAAUUUUUAUGAAUUCUCAACCCAAAAUAAUUUACUAAUUUUCGUGAUUUUUCCGUAUUUUGUCAAGAUUUGAACUUUAAAUGCUUAUAAAUAAAAACCCUGACUAAGGAUUUUUAAUUUUUUUAAUUUGCCUUUGAAAUAAUAACCUAGGUGCCUUCUAUUAAAUUUUUAAGCUUUUUUAACCAACAAAUACAAUUUUAUUGAUAUUUAUAGAAAAAAAAACUAAAAAAAAAUGAAAAACUGAAAAUGUCCGUAAACAGCUUAAAAUAAGUCAAAAUAUUUGGAAAAUGUUAUGGUGUAUAGAAAAUGCUAAUAUAAACAUUCAGUCAAAAUUUCAUGUACUUACGGUCAUUUGUUUUAGAGUUACACCAAAAACCAAAAUCCCAUUUUUCCUUAAUUUUUCUUUUGUUUUUCACGUUGCUUUUGAAAACUACUGGGAAAUUUUUACUUUUGACCCCCCCAAAGUACCAACUAGAUUCACUUUCCUAUCAGAAAAGUUACUGUUGAAGAAAAUCCAAGCACUUUUACUGUCCUAAAAGGUGAUGAGUAUUUUAUGCAGUUAUAUGUAAUACUAAUAUCUAACUAAUAUCCUUGAAGCGAAUGAAUUAUUAAAUUACUACGACAUCACAUAUGUAAAUGGUUCGUAUA